rnacentral:misc_RNA from 1 species
GGAAGAUCAGAAUCAAGUGGCAGCCAAAUUUAACUCCAAGUUGCAGAUUAUGAUUGAGGAAAUGAACUCCGCACUACCAAAUAUGCAAAUGAAGUAUCUCAACGUGUAUGAUCUGAUGCAUUAUAUUGUCAACAAUCCAUCACCAUAUGGGUUUGAGAAUGUGGACGUUGGAUGCUGCGCAACUGGAAUGUUCGAGUUAUCGUAUGUGUGCAACCAGUGGAACCCAUUAACGUGCCCGGAUGCGAGCAAAUACGUAUUCUGGG